rnacentral:rRNA from 1 species
AGUGAACGCUGGCGGCAGGCCUAAUACAUGCAAGUCGAACGGCAGCACAGUGGAGCUUGCUCCAUGGGUGGCGAGUGGCGGACGGGUGAGGAAUACAUGGGAAUCUGCCCAGUCGUGGGGGAUAACGUAGGGAAACUUACGCUAAUACCGCAUGCGCCCUUCGGGGAAAGCCGGGACCGUAAGGCCUGGCGCGAUUGGAUGAGCCCAUGUCGGAUUAGCUAGUUGGCGGGGUAACGGCCCACCAAGGCGACGAUCCGUAGCUGGUCUGAGAGGAUGAUCAGCCACACUGGAACUGAGACACGGUCCAGACUCCUACGGGAGGCAGCAGUAGGGAAUAUUGGACAAUGGGCGCAAGCCUGAUCCAGCCAUGCCGCGUGAGUGAAGAAGGCCCUCGGGUUGUAAAGCUCUUUUGUCCGGAAAGAAAAGCACUGGGUUAAUACCCCGGUGUCCUGACGGUACCGGAAGAAUAAGCACCGGCUAACUUCGUGCCAGCAG